rnacentral:rRNA from 1 species
UACGAGGGGGGCUAGCGUUGCUCGGAAUCACUGGGCGUAAAGGGCGCGUAGGCGGCGUUUUAAGUCGGGGGUGAAAGCCUGUGGCUCAACCACAGAAUGGCCUUCGAUACUGGGGCGCUUGAGUAUGGUAGAGGUUGGUGGAACUGCGAGUGUAGAGGUGAAAUUCGUAGAUAUUCGCAAGAACACCGGUGGCGAAGGCGGCCAACUGGACCAUUACUGACGCUGAGGCGCGAAAGCGUGGGGAGCAAACAGG